CAAAGCAUUACUCGUUAUCAAACCAAACCAAACCAAACCAAACCAAAGCAAAUCCCCCCAAACUUCACUGUCUGCCUCUGGAAUCGUGCUAUGGAAGCCCAUUCUUCUCUCACCCUCUCUUCUCUUAAAACCCACAAAAACGCUACCUUUUCUCCUUUUCUCUUCUUCAUACAAACCACAUUUCCCCUCUUUCUCUUUGUUCUACCAGAGACUAGGGUUUAAACAUGUCUUCUGCUUCUCACUCCCAAACCCACCUUGGCCAUGGCCUUCACCAUAAUUUUCUACUGCACUCAUCUGAGACUUGCCUUGUUCAAAAAAGUUGUAGGUUCAGAGACAGAGAUGGUUGCUCCAAGAAAUGUGCUCCCUUCCAACAUUGUACAUGAAAGAUUUUCCUUCUUUUAAGGUACUGUUGGGUUUAUGUAUUUGAAAUACAUAAAGAGAGUUUGGAAGUGAGGAAUGAAGCCAGUUGGUCCGUGUAGCAA